rnacentral:rRNA from 1 species
UACGAGGGGGGCAAGCGUUAUCCGGAAUUAUUGGGCGUAAAGAGCUCGUAGGCGGUUUGUCGCGUCUGCUGUGAAAACUGGAGGCUCAACCUCCAGCCUGCAGUGGGUACGGGCAAACUAGAGUGCGGUAGGGGAGAUUGGAAUUCCUGGUGUAGCGGUGGAAUGCGCAGAUAUCAGGAGGAACACCGAUGGCGAAGGCAGAUCUCUGGGCCGUAACUGACGCUGAGGAGCGAAAGCAUGGGGAGCGAACAGG